AGUUCCGGCGACUACGCGCGGUCGGUUUACAGGAGACUAGUGCUGCACGUGGAGAGCUGCUUGGCUCUCGCGACUUCGCCCACCCGACCCGCAUGUUCGAAGAGCCGGAGUGGGCCGAGGAGGCCCCAGUAGCCACGGGCCUCGAACCUGUAGCUGCACGACCUCGGCCUGCCGCAGCCUCGCAAAUCAAGGGCUCCAAGCACCGUCAGCUCUUGGCCACAUUAUGGGCCCUGGAGGCAGCAGCUCUUCCCCAGCAAUCUCCUAGCCUGCCUGGCAGUGACUCUGAGGAGGAGGUAGUGGAAAGGAAGAAGAAACACUCAAAAAAGGCCUCAUUUUCCAAUGUUUCUAUUGAAGUAGAGAAGAAGAGGAAGAAGAAAUGUCAGAAACAGGGCCCACCUGGCAGUGACUCUGAAGAAAAGGAAGUAGAAAGGAAGAAAAAGUGCCUCAAAGGGGUUUUUAAUGCCAGUGACUCUGCUGAAGAAGAGAAAAGGAAGAGGAAACACCAGAAACAGGUCCGCUCAAACCCUGCCCAGCACCUGGACAAUGAUGACCAAACAGGUCCCAAAGCUUGGAAGAGUAGAGAUACAAAUGACCUAUCCCAGCCAAGCACUGGGACCACUUCUGCCAACCCCCCCCACAUCUUGAGUCGCAAGCAGUGGCGGAACCGACAAAAGAAUAAACGUAGGCAUAAGAAUAAGUUUCGGCCACCUCAGCCACCAGACCAGGCUCCAGCCACAGUCUCCACAGAGGAGACAGAGAUGCCUCCUGACCCCAGUCCACACAGCCAUGAGGAUCGGGCGGGGGCUCUGCGAGCCCGCAUGGCACAACGGCUGGAUGGUGCUCGAUUUCGUUACCUCAACGAACAGCUAUACUCAGGGCCUAGCAGUGCUGCACAGCGUCUCUUCCAGGAAGACCCUGAGGCCUUUCUCCUCUACCAUCGCGGCUUCCAGAGCCAAGUCAAGAAGUGGCCACUGCAGCCAGUGGACCGCAUUGCCAGAGAUCUUCGCCAGCGGCCUGCAUCCCUGGUGGUAGCUGACUUCGGCUGCGGGGACUGCCGCCUGGCUUCAAGUAUCCGGAACCCUGUACACUGCUUUGACUUGGCCUCUCUGGACCCCAGGGUCACUGUGUGUGACAUGGCCCAGGUGCCUCUGGAGGAUGAGUCUGUGGAUGUGGCUGUGUUCUGCCUUUCACUGAUGGGAACCAACAUCAGGGACUUCCUAGAGGAGGCAAAUAGAGUGCUGAAGCCAGGGGGUCUUCUGAAAGUGGCUGAAGUCAGUAGCCGUUUUGAAGAUGUUCGGACUUUUCUGGGGGCUGUGACCAAACUGGGCUUCAAAGUCAUCUCCAAGGAUCUUACCAACAGCCACUUCUUCCUGUUUGACUUUGAAAAGACUGGGCCUCCUCGGGUCGGUCCCAAGGCUCAACUCACAGGCCUGAAACUUCAGCCAUGUCUCUACAAGCGCAGGUGACCUCUGGGGCCCCCUUGAAAGGGAGGCAAGUCUCGAACUCCAGGCUCAGAACUCUGAAGACUGUAUCCAGCCAGGCUCUGACCCAAGAACGGGGUCAGAAAGAGGAUGUGUGGGAAGAGACCAUGCAGGAUUGCUGUGUAGAGAGCUUAUUGUGAGACAGCACAGCUGGACUGUCAGGACCCGCCCCCUCACCUCAGCUCUGUGGACUCCACUGGGACCAUUCAGGAAGCUUGAGCUAUUAGGUAGAGAGGAGGUGAGAAGAGCCGAGAGCACACAGAUUAUUCUCCUCCUCCCCAACUCAGCCUCCUUGAGACAUAGUGGUCCUCCUUCCCAGAUGACUUCUCAGACUGGCCACCUGUUUCUAGGAUAUUCAACUACUGUAGCAAUUGCCUUAUUGGUCUAAUUCCAUCACUCCUGCCCCCAAAGCAAUUUGUUUCCCACACAGCCAAGUGAUGUUUUUAAAAUGUAAAUCAGAUAUUGUCAUUUCUCUGCUUAAAAUCCUUCAAUGGGUUCUCAGUGCUCUGAGAACAAAAGACAGACUCGCUCCCAGGCCCUGUGUGAUCUUGCUCAGGCCUUGCUCUCCAACUGCAUCUUAACCCACUCCUUCCUCACAAGACUCCGGCCAUGCAAGCUUUCUUUUCAUUCCUCUAGCAUUCCAAGCCAUUCCUGCUGGGUCUUUACACAUGCUGCUCUAUCUUUUUACAGUACUUUUUGUGAUGAGCUCAUUUUCAUCUUCCAGAUCUUCACACCAAAUCCCCGUUUCUUCUUUGGAAGAAACUGGCUAGAUGCUCACCAAAAUGUCCUUUUUAUGGACACAUAGUUAACUAUGUUUCCCAGCUCCUUGCAUCAAGGCAGGGCUAUUGUCUUCGCCAAUGGAAAGUAAGUAGGAGUAAUGCUUUACUACCAGACCAAGGCAAUUAAAGAGUGGAUGAGCCUUCUCCACAUUCUCCCAUCCCCUCUUCUGCCUUCCUGGGUGAGCUUGAAGCAUAUGUUUUAAAGACUGUGGAGUCAAUUGCUUGGAGGAAAUCUGCUUGACCAAGAACAUCCACAUUGGACUUUUCAACAAAAAUAAACCUCUAUUGCAUUAAGUUACUGAGCUUUGGGAAGGUUACAGAAGUUAGUAUUAUAUACUCUGGCUAAUAUAUCUUUUCUGGGCAUCCUGUCCACCUUGCUCUUGACCACAAAACCUUUUUUUGUUUCCCUCAGGGUGCUUCAAACAUGUAAUUAUCUUACCAGAUGCCAGUCAACACUCCUACCUAUCCUAUAACUUUGAAUCUUAAUUGAGAAAAAAAGUCCACGUGAGGAAGUUGAGAUACUCAUUUUAUCAGUUGCAUUUUGAUUGUGACCAGAAAAAAAAAUCCCACUGAAGAAUGUCCUAAACAAAUUAGAUUUUUUUCUUCUACUAUACUUAGAAACCUGAAGGUAGAUGGCUGCUGUCAGUGGUUUAGGAAUUCAAGGAUGUUAAGUUUUAGGUCUUUGUUGCUCUUGGUGUCUUGAUUCUAAUGGUUACAAGAUGAUGUGUUCUUGAUUAGUCGGGGACACCCUACUUACUGUUACACUUCUUGGGAGUCUUGUUGAUUGCCACAGCCCCUACCUUUUUGGCUUUACUUCAAGGGUCCUUCUAUGUUAUUAAUACUCUGGUAUAAAUAUGUUUCAUUAUUCCCUACAACAUAAUUGAGGCCAAUUUAAAAUAUUAACAUUUUCUUUUCUAUCUUUAUUUUUUUGAAUUUUAUAUUAAGUAGGCUUCAUACCCAGUGUGGAGCUUGAACUCAAGACCCUGAGAUUAAGAGUCACAUGCUCUACCAACCAAGCCGUCAGGUGCCCCUAAAAUAUUAACAUUUUAAAAUAUAUUUGUCUCCCACACUCCUUCCCACACCUCAGUGAUCUAUUAGCAACUUACCCAGUUUGAAGCUGUUCUUCCUCCAGCCCAGUGGGGUGGGGAAGCAUGGUCUUUAUUUCAUUCGUUACCUCCUCUGUCACUUAGGAUUGGGAUGGGGAGGACACACUAGAGGAGAAAAAGGUAAACACCAUCAGUGUGCUCUACUAAGACAGGCACUUAUUUAAAUGUUGGCUCUCAUGUGGGGUAUUGGGGUUCUUUGGAGCCCCCCAGUAGGGACUUGUGCACUGGCUGGCUUUGCUGCUUAUUAUACACAGCCCACACUCCCCCUCAGCUCUUCAGCUUCUGCCCCUGUCCAUGAAUCCAUAGCUUCCUAAUGCUAACAUCCCUAUCCCUGGCACAGAGGGAGGGGACCUGGGACAGUUUCCAACAAACACUUCAAGAUUAGUUCCCUUUCAGGGAGCCCACCAGAAACUCAUGCAUAUUUUUCCCACCAACACUGGCAGUGCAGCGCAGUCAGCAGCUGACCCCUCUCCCCUUGCUUGCCUCAGCCAGCCUGACUGACUUCUCCAUGUGAGAAGCACCAAUCUCUAUAUGCAUAUGGCUGCAAACCCUCAUAAGUGAUUCAGGUUGUAUUAACUCCCAAGAGGCCUCUGCCCCAGGCCCCACCUCAGUGGCCAUAUACAGAUGGCUCUAUUAAGUUCCUGAGUGUGGCAAGCCUCUAGCUCGAGAAUGUAAUCUGAAUGAAUGUAAAGCUUAUCCCUCUCGUGGAGACACAGAACUACUAUAAAUGGUUCUAUUAGAGCCCUUCUCACUUGAUUUAGGAUGCCUUUCGGGGGGAAACGUUCUCUAUUCCUAAAAAAAUUUCCAUCAAUACAUCUUUCAUUUCUCACUUCAUAUACAGUAGAAAGUUUGAUGGUCUCUGGAUCAGCUUUAUUUUCUUAGAAUAAAUCCUAUGUGGAUGUA